ACAUCUCGUUAGAUCACCGAAGUCAAGCAUCAUUGGGCGCGGUCAGUACUUGGGUGGGUGACCACUUGGGAACACCGCGUGCCGUU